rnacentral:rRNA from 1 species
GUGGGGAAUACUGCACAAUGGGGGAAACCCUGAUGCAGCAACGCCGCGUGAGUGAUGACGGUCUUCGGAUUGUAAAACUCUGUCUUCAGGGACGAUAAUGACGGUACCUGAGGAGGAAGCCACGGCUAACUACGUGCCAGCAGCCGCGGUAAUACGUAGGUGGCAAGCGUUGCCCGGAUUUACUGGGCGUAAAGGGAGUGUAGGUGGAUAUUUAAGUGGGAUGUGAAAUACUCGGGCUUAACCUGGGUGCUGCAUUCCAAACUGGAUAUCUAGAGUGCAGGAGAGGAAAGUAGAAUUCCUAGUGUAGCGGUGAAAUGCGUAGAGAUUAGGAAGAAUACCAGUGGCGAAGGCGACUUUCUGGACUGUAACUGACACUGAGGCUCGAAAGCGUGGGGAGCAAACAGGAUUAGAUACCCGGGUAGUCC